rnacentral:rRNA from 1 species
UGCCUGUACCAUAACCGACACAGGUGGGUAGGUAGAGUAUACUAAGGGGCGCGAGAUAACUCUCUCUAAGGAACUCGGCAAAAUGACUCCGUAACUUCGGGAGAAGGAGUGCCUUAUUUAUAAGGUUGCAAUAACAAGAUCCAAGCAACUGUUUAUCAAAAACACAGGUCUCCGCUAAGUCGUAAGACGAUGUAUGGGGGCUGACGCCUGCCCAGUGCCAGAAGGUUAAAGAAGUUGGUUAGUGUAUGCGAAGCUGAUGACUGAAGCCCUGGUGAACGGCGGCCGUAACGAUAACGGUCCUAAGGUAGCGAAAUUCCUUGUCGGGUAAGUUCCGACCCGCACGAAAGGCGUAAUGAUUUGGAUACUGUCUCGGAGAGAGGCUCGGUGAAAUAGACUUGUCUGUGAAGAUGCGGACUACCUGCACCAGGACAGAAAGACCCUAUGAAGCUUUACUGUAACUUGAAAUUGGAAUUGGACUUUGCUUGCGCAGUAUAGGUGGGAAGCGUUGAAGAUAUUCUUGCGGGAGUAUUGGAGCUAUCAGUGAGAUACCACUCUUGUAAUGUUAGAUUUCUAACUUUGAACCAUAAUCUGGUCAAAGAACAGUUUCAGGUGGGCAGUUUGACUGGGGCGGUCGCCUCCCAAAUGGUAACGGAGGCGUACAAAGGUUUCCUCUGAACGGAUAGAAAUCGUAUCUAGAGUGUAAAGGCAUAAGGAAGCUUGACUGUGAGACCUACAAGUCGAGCAGGGACGAAAGUCGGUCUUAGUGAUCUGACGGUACUGAGUGGAAAGGCCGUCACUCAACGGAUAAAAGUUACUCUAGGGAUAACAGGCUGAUCUCCCCCAAGAGUUCACAUCGACGGGGAGGCCUGGCACCUCGAUGUCGGCUCAUCGCAUCCUGGGGCGGUAGUACGUCCCAAGGGUUGGGCUGUUCGCCCAUGAAAGCGGUACGCGAGCUGGGUUCAGAACGUCGUGAGACAGUUCGGUCCAUAUCCGGUGUAGGCGUUAGAAUAUUGAGAGGAGCCUUCUUUAGUACGAGAGGACCGAGAAGGACACACCGCUGGUGUACCAGUUAUCGUGCCAACGGUAAACGCUGGGUAGCUAUGUGUGGAGUGGAUAACCGCUGAAAGCAUCUAAGUGGGAAGCCCACCUCAAGAUGAGUAUUCUGUGUUAAGGUCACGGGAAGACGACCCGUAAAUAGGCACGAGGUGGAAGUACAGUAA